rnacentral:rRNA from 1 species
AACGAACGCUGGCGGCAGGCCUAACACAUGCAAGUCGGGCGCGCCCUUCGGGGUGAGCGGCGGACGGGGGAGUAACGCGUGGGAACGUGCCCUUUUCUACGGAAUAGCCUCGGGAAACUGAGAGUAAUACCGUAUACGCCCUUUGGGGGAAAGAUUUAUCGGAAAAGGAUCGGCCCGCGUUGGAUUAGGUAGUUGGUGGGGUAAUGGCCUACCAAGCCGACGAUCCGUAGCUGGUUUGAGAGGAUGAUCAGCCACACUGGGACUGAGACACGGCCCAGACUCCUACGGGCGGCAGCAGUGGGGAAUCUUAGACAAUGGGGGCAACCCUGAUCUAGCCAUGCCGCGUGAGUGAUGAAGGCCUUAGGGUUGUAAAGCUCUUUCAGCUGGGAAGAUAACGACGGUACCAGCAGAAGAAGCCCCGGCUAACUCCGUG